rnacentral:rRNA from 1 species
UACAUAUGGGGCAAGCGUUGUUCGGAAUUACUGGGCAUAAAGGGUGCGUAGGUGGUCUAUUAAGUCAGGGGUGAAAUCCCGCGGCCCAACCGUGGAACGGCCUUUGAUACUGAUGGACUUGAGUGCGUGAGGGGUAGGGGGAACGAGCAGUGUAGCGGUGAAAUGCGUAGAGAUCCGGAGGAACACCAGUGGCGAAGGCGACACGCUGGGUCACACCUGACGCUAAAGCGCGACAGCAUGGGGGAGCGAACGGG